CAGCGCCCCCCUCCCUUAUGAAAAGUUCUGGAUCCGCCACUGUAAACUAAUUGAUAGUAAAUAGCAAAUAUUAUUCAUUUUCGUUUUCCUCCCAAAAUAACCCAAACUGAAACACGUUAAGCAAGGAUGAUACAUGCUAGUACUCAAAAUGAUAGCAGAAAGCAAAUUCAUAUACUUUAUUUCAUAGUCUUUGUAUGUUCGAAGUACAGAAAAACACAAACCGGAAGUCUAAUCUGACUUAAAGUUUUGUCCAAUGACGGGAAAAUAUCCGGACGCAUUCUUUUUCGUUUUUUAUCCCAAAUAACCCAAACUUAAUGAUCAUAAGAAUGGAUGACAAAUGCGACUAUACAUGUUACCUAUAGGACA
rnacentral:lncRNA from 1 species